UCCUGUUCUCCGAAGGGCGACACUGGACACUUUCCCACGUGACUCCCAUCUCUGGGCCCCGGCUCUGUGCAUGGCGAAGUCCCCGGAGAACUCUACCCUGGAGGAGAUUCUGGGGCAGUAUCAACGGAGUCUCCGGGAACGUGCGAAUAGAAGCAUUCACCAACUGCAGUGUGCACUGAGAGACGGUGAUGUCAGUGUUGGAGAAGGUGCCCUGGAUGCCACGUGUGGUAAUGGUGUGGAAAAUGAGGACCCUGGGAUGGCUUGGCAUGAACUUCAACACAGCCAUGCCGUCAAUCAACUCAAAGCUUUGUUGCGCCAACAGGCAACUAAGGAAAGUGAGGUGUCUCCAUCAAGAAGACGAAAUGUGUCCCCUCUGAGGUCAUCAGAGUAUGAGGAAGCCAGUAUCCCUACUGUAUACAAUCUCGUUCCUAUCAUCAAUGACCAGUCUCAAUACAUUCAUCAUUUAGAGGCAGAAGUCAAGUUCUGCAAGGAGGAACUCUCUGGAAUGAAAAAUAGGGUACAAGUAGUUGUGCUUGAAAAUGAAAGGCUCCAGCAAGAGCUGAAAUCUCAGAGACAGGAGGAAGCAAUGAGGGAACAAACACUUCUGGAUGCAUCUGGAAACCUGCAGAAUUCUUGGAUUACAACAGGUGAAGACUCUGGGGUGGAUGAAGCUGCCAAGUGGCGAUUCUCCCAGGACAAUGCAGAUACUGUCAAAGGUCCAUCGGCUGGUGAGGCUGAGAAAUGGAAGCUAGAACUGGAGAGGCUAAAACUUACUUAUGAAGAAAAGGGUGAGAUCCUGGAAUCUCAAUUGAAGUUUUUGAGGAAAGACCUAGCUGAAUAUCAGAAAAAUUGUGAAGAUCUUAAGGAGCGACUGAAGCAUAAAGAGUCUCUUCUCGCUGCUAAUAUGUCUAACUGUGUUGGUGGCCUUUGUCUGAAAUGUGCUCAGCACGAAGCUGUUCUCUCCCAAACCCAUAAUAAUGUUCACAUGCAGACCAUUGAAAGACUGACUAAGGAAAGGGAUGACUUAAUGUCUGCGCUGGUCUCCGUCAGGAGCAGCUUGACAGAUGGGCAGCAAAGAGAAGCCAGUGCUUAUGAGCAGGUGAAACAGGCUCUGCAGAUGACCGAGGAGGCCAACUUCGAGAAAACCAAGGCUUUAAUCCAGUGUGAGCAGUUGAAGAAUCAACUGGAGAGACAGACAGAGCGACUUGAAAAAGAACUCGCAUCUCAGCAAGAGAAAAGGGCCCUUGAGAAACAGACGAUGAGAAAGGAAAUAACAAAAGAAAGGGAAGACGUGGGAUCAAAGAUGUUGUCCCUGUCUCAAAAUAUUGCCCAACUGGAGGCCCAGGUUGAAAAGGUUACAAGAGAGAAAAUUUCAGCUAUUAAUCAACUCGAAGAAGUUCAAAACCAGCUUACUUCCAAGGAAAUGGAUGUCACAAAGGUGUGCGGGGAAAUGCGCUAUCAGUUGAAUAAAACCAAAAUGGAGAAGGAUGAGGCAGAGAAGGAACACAGAGAGUACAGAACCAAAACUAAAAGGGAUCUUGAAAUUAAAGAUGAGGAAAUAGAGAAAUUGAAAUUAGAAGUGAGGGAAAGCAAGCAGCACUUGGAACAGGAACAGCAGAAGGCAGCCCGGGCCAGAGAGGAGUGCCUGAAACUGACAGAGCUGCUGAGCGAAUCCGAGCACCAACUGCACCUCACCAGACUGGAAAAAGAUAGCAUUCAGCAGAGCUUUAGCAACGAAGCAAAGGCCCAAGCCCUUCAGGCCCAGCAAAGAGAACAGGAGCUGACACAGAAGAUACAGCAAAUGGAGGCCCAGCAUGACAAAACUGAAAAUGAACAGUAUUCAUUGCUGACCUCCCAGAAUACAUUUUUGACAAAGUUAAAGGAAGAGUGCUGUGCAUUAGCCAAGAAACUGGAGCAAAUCUCUAAAAAAAGCAGGUCUGAAAUAGCUCAGCUCAGUCAAGAGAAAAGGUAUAUGUAUGACAAACUGGAAAAGUCAGAGAGGAGAAAUGAGGAAUUGGAGGAGCAGUGUGUCCAACACGGGAGACUACAUGAGAUAAUGAAGCAGAGGCUAAAGCAGCUGGACAAGCACAGCCAGGCCACGGCCCAGCAGCUGGUGCAGCUUCUCAAAAAGCAGAACCAGCUUCUGCUAGAGAGACAGAGCCUGUCAGAAGAGGUGGAAUGUCUGAGAUCCCAGCCACAGAGAUGCUUUGACCAUCCUGAGUUAUCUGAUACCAGCCCAUCUGGCUCAUCUCUAAAGGGAUCUUUCAGAUUCAAACAGUACAUUUGGAGUUAUUUUAAUAUGAACAGGACAAAAGACAUUUCAUAGAGGGACUGUUGGCUUUCAGUAGCAAAUACUGGUGUUCAAAGAAGAGGCAGGGAUCCAGUUUUGCAAGCUUGCUGCGGAAUAUCUAAACCGAAGGCCUGCUCUUUCUACCCAAGUGUGGCAUUAGACCUACUUGGCCGUGGAAUAAACUGGAAUUGUGAGUUUAGCUUCCAACCGUUGAGGUGAACAAGGCCGCUGUGUGCUCCCAGCAGGGAUGUUGGAGGACACAGCCUGCUGCGAGCUCCCGAGUGACUGACCCCGCUCCCUGUUUUCCUGGAGAGACACUGGUUCAUCUCUCGUUUAGGGAUGAAGCGUUUAACUAAAGGCUUCCGUUUUCUCGGCCGGGAUGGAUUAAGCAUAAGGACUUAACUGCUUGUGUCAGACUCUCAAACUCUGUCCACCCGACACCCAGCAGGGAGUGGAGAGCUCCUGGCCGGGGCUGCUGCUCCGAAGCUGAGUCCCAGGCCUCUGGUUUGCUCCCAGGCCCCGAGCCCUGGGCCCUGGAGCAGAUGACGGGCCUUGGGUCGGCCUGCCGCCUCUUACGGGAAACUGACAUCUGUUCAGAAGGCUUUCUUAUUCUCAGUCGUUUCUGCUUACAUCCUGAAACCCGCACAACAGUCUGGCAGAGCGAGCCGGUCGUAGUGGUAAGUAGGCCAUGGUGACGAUUUUAACCAUGACAAUUCCCGUCUUUCCCUGCAACACUGCUGGUGUGCAGGCCGCGGGCCGCCAGUGGGCCUGGCUCAGGGCUUCGGGGCCGCCUUUCUUCGUGUGACUAAAAGUGGUGGCUUUGUUACUCUCCUGCCUCAUGCUGCGGGUGGGGGACUUCUAGAAAAUGGCUUUUAAAAUGUCCUCAAAUGGCUAUGCUGGUCAUCCUGAAGACCCCCACCCAGCCUGCCUGCAGACAUGGCCCCACGGCCCCUCCCUGGGCACAGGCCCUGUCGCCUCUUCUUGGUGGGCACAGAGACUCUGGCUGGGUCUCAGGGGAGUGGUGGUGGGGCCUGGUGGCUGGGAGCAGGGAGUCAGGGGUCUGGGACCCAGCGCCUGGGGCUCUAACAUCUGGCCAAGGAGGGUGGCACCAGCUGCUGAGAUCAGUCUCUUCUUGGGGAGAAUGGCAGCUGAGAGAUGGGAAAGAACAGAAGUUGUCCAUUUAGAGGAUGGUUUUAUACCCCCGAGGGUUUGUGGGGGAACUACUCAUUGGGCAAUGACUCGGGGUUCAGAUUUGCAUCUUUUGAUAGCCACUUUCUCCCCCGGGCCCUGGGGCUCUGUCCUCAGUGCUCAGUCUGGGGAGGGGCGCCCUUCCAGUCCCUGCAGACGAAGCAUCUCUACAGUCGGGAAGCUUUCCUGAGACUGACUUAUCAGUGAUUAAUCAGUUGGCCCUGUGACUUUUGCGUAUUCUUGGCAGUGAACUGACUUUCUAAUUUGAUUCAAACUUGUGCUUGGAUCCAGCAGCCACAUGUGAUUAUAAGGAAAAUCAUGGACAUUGUCUCAUCACACGGAAGGAUGUGGCAAGAGAGCUGAAAGGAGCAAAGAACCGGGCACAGGGGAGGAGGGGAGGCAGGGCCCAUUUAUGACCUGAAGCCAGGGGCAGGGCACCUUCAGAAAUGGCCGCUUGAGGGAGGGUCACCAGGCGGGGGUCCUGCUGAGGAGUGGGGGGGGGUGCCUGCCGCUCGCCCCGGAUGGGACCUGGAGAUGUACGCAGGUUUGUGAGGGUCCUUCCUGAGCGUUGGGGGCCUCGCCGGCCUCACAUGGGUGCUUCCCCAAAGUUAGCUACCUGCAGGACAGAUGGUGCUUGAAUAGAACAGCAAAUACACUGAAUAAAAUAAAUUAGAAAGCCUCCUCCUGAACCAAGAGUUUUUGGAAAGAAUUCUAAAUAGAUGAAAACAAACAAUUUGAUUUCAACCAAAUUGUUGUUUUUUUGUUUUUAUCCUGAUUUUCACCCGAAUUGUCAGUCUCAAAAAUAAACACUGAUACAUUCCCAGAAAAUAUUUUUCAAAUAAAAACUGACUCUGUUAAAGUUUGCCCUGAUUCUUUCAAAACUGUGUACAAGACACUGUCAACCAAAGUGACUUGCAUAUUUUUUUAAAUACACUUGAACAUAUGCAGCAAAAAUGUCAUUAACUCCCUGCUGCCUGAGUGUUUUUCAAGAGUGACACGAGACCCCUGGUGCUGUGUUUCCAACAUAAGGGUCUCGCGACCCUCAGAGAAACUUCCCCGAGCAACUCGAAUAGCACAGUUUAACUUUUGUGGGUUGUUUUUUUUUUUUUGUCCCCACGGAAGGCCCUGUGUGUAAUUAAUAUUGAAAAGCACAUACGGCUUCAUUGAAGCCAAACUUGCUCUUCCAUUUAACAGUUCAGUUUGUCCAAGAGUGAAUAAUUUCAGAAUGAGACUCAUGGAAGAAAAAUAAAUCGAAUUUUCUGUUGCUUCAGACACACUUGCUCCAGUUAUUGCUUCCUGAGUCAGACGUUACAUUUUGCAAUAUAAAUUCACAAUCAAGAUUUUAAAGGGAGCUAAAUAUUUUAAUCCAAUUAGACAAGUGAACAAAACACUGAAUAUUGCAUGGAGUGUGGAGAAGUGGUUCUUGCCUUUAAAAGACUGUGAUUCCGUCACAUUACAACCCCAAAUGUCAGUGUUGUCUUUAUUCUUAACGCUUUCAAACAUGAGGCAGCCAGAGGCUCCUCUCUGUGCUGUUGGUGACACUGUCUGUCCUUUGGGAAUUCUUAAAAAUCUAUUUACCAUGGAAACAUGGUCCCUAUAAAACACAGACACCUGCCCAUGUGCAGAGGAAGUUUGCGGGACUCGCGGGAUUCCCGGAAGCUGGAAGAUGACAUCGUGGGAUUGCACGAGGUGUGGGACCCUGGUGUCGGCAGAGCUCCGAGGAGGAGCGGGGCGCAGGAGCUGCCAGAUCCGGGGGCGCCUGGGCACUUUGACCCUGGCCGUCCGUGGUCCUCCCCCCCCCCCCCCCCGCCCCCGCCCCCCUCGCCCGCCGGGCCGCAGGUCCAAGUCCAGCUCCAGCUGCUGUUUUCCAGAAAGCCAAGGAAGCAUCGCCCCGCCUUCGUUCUGCAACGAAGGCUUUCCCGCCUCUGCUUUUCCUUUCUCUGGUUUCUCCUGAUGCUCCCCGCUUUGGGAGCCCAAACACAGGGAGCCAGGCCUGUGGUCCCCAUGGUCUAGGGACCCUGGGGCUUUGACCUCUGUCUGCACAGACCAGUGGUCGUCAGAGGCCCGAGGGGAGAAGGACCGCCGGGUGUGCUGGUGACCUCAUUGUGAACUCUGGGCCCGUUUUGCACCUGCCCACAGCCGGAUGGAUUCCUGGGAAGGUCAGUGAGUGUGCAGGCCACUUAGCAGGGCGCAAGGCGGGACUCUGCUGACCCGGAGGCAGCCCGCCGUGUGCCCUGCGCCUUCUGCCAUGUCGCGGGCCCCCCUGAAGGCCAUGUUCCACGAAGUUCUGCAGAGGACUGGUGAGGGCACCUUCCUCCGAGCGAACCGGUGACCACCUGGAGGAGUCCACGUGGCCUGUGUGCGCUGGCCGGCCUUCCCCAUGACUCCUGCUCAGCUCCACAAAGAUCACACUUGGUGGCUUAUGUGCUCUCACUGAGCGGGUCAGAAGAGCACAAGAGAGCCUGGACUUCGAGGUCACACCACCGGGGGCUCAGAUCUCAGCUCUGUACCACUUCGGGGAAGUGGUUUAGCUUUCCUAUCACUCAGGUCCUGGUCAAAACCAAAACCGAAACCAAAAAACAAACAAAAACCCUUAAAAAGAGAACCGGCUUCCCUUUAGGAGGGAGCCCCCACACAACCCCGACUCCGGUGAAGGUGACCGUGAAGCCGGCCAGGUUGGCAGGUGUGAAGGGGCCACUGGAUAAAUCAUUCAGUGUCCUUUCUGUACAGGUAGGAGAAAGAAGGCCCAGAGAUGAAGUGAACAGAACUGGGAAGUGACUGGCAGGGAACUGAACUCAAGAAGGUGGUCAGUCCCUGGGCUGCGGGCUGCUGGCUGCUUGGACAGACUUGCGCACUAAAGAGGCAC